UUGGGAAUCUUCCGCAAUGGACGCAAGUCUGACGGAGCAACGCCGCGUGAGUGAAGAAGGAUUUCGGUUCGUAAAACUCUGUUGUUAGAGAAGAACAGCGCAUAGAGUAACUGUUAUGCGUGUGACGGUAUCUAACCAGAAAGCCACGGCUAACUACGUGCCAGCAGCCGCGGUAAUACGUAGGUGGCAAGCGUUGUCCGGAUUUAUUGGGCGUAAAGCGAGCGCAGGCGGUCAAUUAAGUCUGAUGUGAAAGCCCCCGGCUCAACCGGGGAGGGUCAUUGGAAACUGGUUGACUUGAGUGCAGAAGAGGGGAGUGGAAUUCCAUGUGUAGCGGUGAAAUGCGUAGAUAUAUGGAGGAACACCAGUGGCGAAGGCGACUCUCUGGUCUGUAACUGACGCUGAGGCUCGAAAGCGUGGGUAGCAAACAGG
rnacentral:rRNA from 1 species